CACAGGGCUUCACCCUGUGUUAUAAUAUGACGUCCUUUCAGGACU
rfam:Marivirga tractuosa DSM 4126, complete genome.